rnacentral:rRNA from 1 species
GAUGAACGCUAGCGGCAGGCUUAAUACAUGCAAGUUGAGGGGCAGCAUGAUAUACGCGAGUAUAUUGAUGGCGACCGGCGGACGGGUGAGUAAUAGGUAGGAGACCUACCUCAUACAGGGGGAUAGCAUAGAGAAAUCUGUGGUAAUACCCCAUGAGGUUAUAUGAAUAGAGGCAUAUAAUCAAAGCAUAAGUGAUUAUGCGGUAUGAGAGGGGCCUACUGACCAUUAGCUAGUUGGUGAGGUAAGGGCUCACCAAGGCGAAGAUGGUUAGGGGUUUUGAGAGAGAGACCCCCCACAUUGGAACUGAGAGACGGUCCAGACUCCUACGGGAGGCAGCAGUAGGGAAUAUUGGGCAAUGGGCGAAAGCCUGACCCAGCCAUACCGCGUGAAGGAAGACGGCCUUAUGGGUUGUAAACUUCUUUACUACCGCGAAUAGAGGUUAGUACGAGAUACUAAUAGGAAGGUAGUGUAGUAAAAGCACCGGCUAACUCCGUGCCAG